AAAGCAAAAGGCAGCAAGAUUAACCCUUUUCCUUUUGCCUCA
rnacentral:rRNA from 1 species